GGAGAGAGAGAGUGGAACCUGAGCUCUGGUGUGAGGUUCCUAAUGUUAAUCCAAGUCUCUGCCAACAAUGAGUCUGUCCUUUCUCACUGUCUCUCUGAUCUCCAUCCUCUGGCCCUGUCUGUCACUGGGAGCUUUGGUGACUCAGUGGCCGGGGACAGUCACAGCCAGAGAGGGGGAGACAGUGACUUUGAAUUGUUAUCAGAAUAACAAAGACUAUGAAGUAAUGCUCUGGUACCUCCAACCCCAUCAGGGAGGCCUCACAUUGCUCGGGUAUGUCUACUACACAACGGUAACGCAUGAGGAAUCUGGUUACAACAUUACCAAGACAUCUGACAAGAUGAACUCCACGCUGGAGAUCUCCAGCGUGAACCCAACCCAGGAGGGGGUGUAUUACUGCGCUGCGAGAGAAGGGCACAGCGUGAGAGAGAGACAGAUCUCUCGUACAUAAACCUCACACAGGAUACA